CCGGGUGAGUAACACGUGACUAACUUACCCUCGAGUGGGGGAUAACCCCGGGAAACCGGGGCUAAUACCGCAUAACAUCGAGAGAUCAAAGGAGCAAUCCGCUUGAGGAGAGGGUCGCGGCUGAUUAGCUAGUUGGUAGGGUAAUGGCCUACCAAGGCUGAGAUCGGUAGCCGGCCUGAGAGGGCGCACGGCCACACUGGAACUGAAACACGGUCCAGACUCCUACGGGAGGCAGCAGUGGGGAAUUUUGCGCAAUGGGGGAAACCCUGACGCAGCAACGCCGCGUGGAGGAUGAAGCCCUUUGGGGCGUAAACUCCUUUCGACCGGGAAGAUAAUGACGGUACCGGUGGAAGAAGCACCGGCUAACUCUGUGCCAGCAGCCGCGGUAAUACAGAGGGUGCGAGCGUUGUUCGGAAUUAUUGGGCGUAAAGGGCGCGUAGGCGGUGCGGUAAGUCACCUGUGAAACCUCCGGGCUCAACUCGGAGCCUGCAGGCGAAACUGCCGUGCUGGAGUGUGGGAGAGGUGCGUGGAAUUCCCGGUGUAGCGGUGAAAUGCGUAGA
rnacentral:rRNA from 1 species